GACCUGAUAGCUCAGUGGUUAGAGCAUCUGGGAUCUUUCCAGAGGGCCUGGGUUCAAUCCCCAGUCUGGUCA